rnacentral:rRNA from 1 species
UGCUGACGAGUGGCGAACGGGUGAGUAUACAUCGGAACGCUAGUAGUGGGGGAUAACUACUCGAAAGAGUAGCUAAUACCGCAUGAGAUCUACGGAUAAAAGCAGGGGACCUUUCGGGCCUUUGUGCUACUAAAGCGGUGAUGGCAGAUUAGGUAGUUGGUGGGGUAAGGCUUACAAGCCUGCGAUCUGUAGCUGGUCUGAGAGGACGACCAGCCACACUGGGACUGAGACACGGCCCAGACUCCUACGGGAGGCAGCAGUGGGGAAUUUUGGACAAUGGGCGAAAGCCUGAUCCAGCAAUGCCGCGUGCAGGAUGAAGGCCCUCGGGUUGUAAACUGCUUUUGUACGGAACGAAAAGCCUGGGGCUAAUAUCCCCGGGUCAUGACGGUACCGUAAGAAUAAGCACCGGCUAACUACGUGCCAGCAGCCGCGGUAAUACGUAGGUGCAAGCGUUAAUCGGAAUUACUGGGCGUAAAGCGUGCGCAGGCGGUUUUGUAAGACAGUGGUGAAAUCCCCGGGCUCAACCUGGGAACUGCCAUUGUGACUGCAAGGCUAAGUGCGGCAGAAGGGGAUGGAAUUCCGCGUGUACAGUGAAAUGCG